rnacentral:sRNA from 1 species
AUCACGCGCAGCCCCGCCCCCGCGGCCUCGUCGCUCCUGGUGAGGCGGUAGCCGCUCUUCGUCGGCUCUUACCGGCUGGCUGGGCCAGCUGCGCCGCGGCUCACAGCUGACGAUGGGGGACCCCAGCAAGCAGGACAUCUUGACCAUCUUCAAGCGCCUCCGCUCGGUGCCCACUAACAAGGUGUGUUUUGAUUGUGGUGCCAAAAAUCCCAGCUGGGCAAGCAUAACCUAUGGAGUGUUCCUUUGCAUUGAUUGCUCAGGGUCCCACCGGUCACUUGGUGUUCACUUGAGUUUUAUUCGGUAAGUGAAUCUUCUCUCAUUGGGGUGAGAUUGAUUACAUUGUUACAUGGGUGUUUUUUUCCCUUUUUUCUUUUCUUUUUUUGAGACAGGGUCUUGCCUUGUCACCUGUCACCUUGGCUGCAGUAGUGCCAUCAUAGCUCACUGGGCUCAAGCGAACUCAGCCUCUACAGAAAAUAAAAAAUGUUGUGGUGUGAUGAUGUGUAACUGUAGUCCUAGUUACUCAGGAGGCUGAAGUGGAAGGAUCACUUAAGCCCAGGAGUCAAGGCUGCAGUGAACUAUG